AACGAACGCUGGCGGCGCGUCUUAAACAUGCAAGUCGAACGGCAGGAAGGGGCUUGCCCCUUCUGAGAGUGGCGGACUGGUGAGUAACACGUGGUUGACAUACCUUUUAGUUGGGGAUAGCUAUUAGAAAUAGUAGGUAAUACCGAAUGUGACCGUACCUGUUAGAGGGGUACGAGGAAAGGAGCUAAGGCUUCGCUAAAAGAAUGGCUCGCGGCCCAUUAUGCUCGUUGGUGAGGUAACGGCCCACCAAGGCGAUGAUGGGUAUCCGGCCUGAGAGGGUGAACGGACACAUUGGGACUGAGAUACGGCCCAGACUUCUACGGGAGGCAGCAGUUAAGAAUAUUCCGCAAUGGACGAAAGUCUGACGGAGCGACGCCGCGUGGAUGAAGAAUGCCGAAAGGUUGUAAAAUCCUUUUAAGCCUGAUGAAUAAGCACAGUAGGGAAUGAUUGUGCGGUGACCGUAGGGCUUGAAUAAGCACCGGCUAAUUACGUG
rnacentral:rRNA from 1 species